rnacentral:rRNA from 1 species
GGGGAAUUUUGGACAAUGGGCGAAAGCCUGAUCCAGCAAUGCCGCGUGUGUGAAGAAGGCCUUCGGGUUGUAAAGCACUUUUGUCCGGAAAGAAAUGGCUCUGGUUAAUACCUGGGGUCGAUGACGGUACCGGAAGAAUAAGGACCGGCUAACUACGUGCCAGCAGCCGCGGUAAUACGUAGGGUCCAAGCGUUAAUCGGAAUUACUGGGCGUAAAGCGUGCGCAGGCGGUUGUGCAAGACCGAUGUGAAAUCCCCGAGCUUAACUUGGGAAUUGCAUUGGUGACUGCACGGCUAGAGUGUGUCAGAGGGGGGUAGAAUUCCACGUGUAGCAGUGAAAUGCGUAGAGAUGUGGAGGAAUACCGAUGGCGAAGGCAGCCCCCUGGGAUAACACUGACGCUCAUGCACGAAAGCGUGGGGAGCAAACAGGAUUAGAUACCCUGGUAGUCCACGCCCUAAACGAUGUCAACUAGUUGUUGGGGAUUCAUUUCCUUAGUAACGUAGCUAACGCGUGAAGUUGACCGCCUGGGGAGUACGGUCGCAAGAUUAAAACUCAAAGGAAUUGACGGG